rnacentral:rRNA from 1 species
AUGUAUAGCGAAAGCUAGUUGCAUUAAAUUCGAUUAAUUCGAAGUUAUUGCAGAAAAGACUAUGUCGAAUAAAGUUCUAGGUAGAGUUAUGAUAAUGACAUUUUCUAUCUAUGUGUCUUGACCAAAUCACGUGCCAGCAGUCGCGGUAAUACGUGGAAGACUAGUGUUAUUCAUCUUUAAUAGGUUUAAAGGGUACUUAGACGGUAUUUUUAGCCCAAAUAAAAACAAAGGGUACUAAUUAUACUAGAGUUUUAUGAGUGGGGGGUGCGUACGAAUGGUGUAGAGAUGAAAUUCUGUCAUACCAUUAUGACAGGCGACGGCGAAAGCAACCUUUAGUUAAAAACUGACGUUAAAGGACGAAGGCUUUGUAUCACCAACAGGAUUAGAUACCCAAGCAGUCUAAGCAGACAAUUAUGAAUGCCAUAGAUAAGAAACCCAUGGAUAAAGAAGAAAACAUGUACUUUUCAGAAUGCCCUUUUUGGGCAUUGGUUUAUUAAAAAAAAUAAACUUCUCCUCUUCACUUCUUCAUUUCUUGGAGAAAGAGAGAAGUCGAGAUGAAAAAAAUGGCUCGUAAUCUUAUCUAUCAUCAUCAUCUUUCAGAUGAUGAAGAAUACAUUUCUUUUAGACAUCGACUAUGUCGAAGUUAACAAAAAAAGAAAUAAGGAUGUAUUUUUGUCUAUAAAUGAAAGUGUAAGCAUUCCACCUCAAGAGUAAAGUGGCAACGCACAAACUGAAAUCAUUAGACCGUUUCUUGAAACCAGUAGUGAAGUAUGUUGUUUAAUUUGAUGGUCCGCAAAAAACCUUACCACAAUUUGUAUAUUAUUAGCUUAAUACAAGAGUUGCACGGCUGUCUUCAGGUUAAUGUCGUGAGAUUUUGGUUAGUUCCAUAAAAUUAACCGUAAAACCCCCACUUUAUUUAUAUUAUAAAGUAGUUCACCGCUAUA